AUUGAACGCUGGCGGCAGGCCUAACACAUGCAAGUCGAGCGGAGCAGCGGACGGGUGAGUAAUGCCUAGGAAUGUGCCUGGUAGCGGGGGAUAACGUCAGGAAAAGGGCGCUAAUACCGAAUACUAUCAGAUUAGCCUGGGUCGGAUUAGCGAGUUGGUGGGGUAAAGGCUUACCAAGGCGACGAUCCGUAACUGGUCUGAGAGGAUGAUCAGUCACACUGGGACUGAGACACGGUCCAGACUCCUACGGGAGGCAGCAGUGGGGAAUAUUGGACAAUGGGCGAAAGCCUGAUCCAGCCAUGCCGCGUGUCUGAAGAAGGUCUUCGGAUUGUAAAGCACUUUAAGUUGGGAGGCGUUACCAACAGAAGAAGCACCGGCUAACUUCGUGCCAGCAGCCGCGGUAAUAC
rnacentral:rRNA from 1 species